GAGAUUCCCCCAGUAGCGGCGAGCGAACGGGGAGCAGCCCAGAGCCUGAAUCAGUGUGUGUGUUAGUGGAAGCGUCUGGAAAGGCGUGCGAUACAGGGUGACAGCCCCGUACACAAAAAUGCACAUAUUGUGAGCUCGAUGAGUAGGGCGGGACACGUGGUAUCCUGUCUGAAUAUGGGGGGACCAUCCUCCAAGGCUAAAUACUCCUGACUGACCGAUAGUGAACCAGUACCGUGAGGGAAAGGCGAAAAGAACCCCGGCGAGGGGAGUGAAAAAGAACCUGAAACCGUGUACGUACAAGCAGUGGGAGCACGCUUAGGCGUGUGACUGCGUACCUUUUGUAUAAUGGGUCAGCGACUUAUAUUCUGUAGCAAGGUUAACCGAAUAGGGGAGCCGAAGGGAAACCGAGUCUUAACUGGGCGUUAAGUUGCAGGGUAUAGACCCGAAACCCGGUGAUCUAGCCAUGGGCAGGUUGAAGGUUGGGUAACACUAACUGGAGGACCGAACCGACUAAUGUUGAAAAAUUAGCGGAUGACUUGUGGCUGGGGGUGAAAGGCCAAUCAAACCGGGAGAUAGCUGGUUCUCCCCGAAAGCUAUUUAGGUAGCGCCUCGUGAAUUCAUCUCCGGGGGUAGAGCACUGUUUCGGCAAGGGGGUCAUCCCGACUUACCAACCCGAUGCAAACUGCGAAUACCGGAGAAUGUUAUCACGGGAGACACACGGCGGGUGCUAACGUCCGUCGUGAAGAGGGAAACAACCCAGACCGCCAGCUAAGGUCCCAAAGUCAUGGUUAAGUGGGAAACGAUGUGGGAAGGCCCAGACAGCCAGGAUGUUGGCUUAGAAGCAGCCAUCAUUUAAAGAAAGCGUAAUAGCUCACUGGUCGAGUCGGCCUGCGCGGAAGAUGUAACGGGGCUAAACCAUGCACCGAAGCUGCGGCAGCGACGCUUAUGCGUUGUUGGGUA
rnacentral:rRNA from 1 species